rnacentral:lncRNA from 1 species
GGAAAGCAAGUGGUGAUAGAGUAGUAUAGCGAGCAAGCGUAGUUGAAACUUGAGAUCAGCUAUAUAAGGCAAGUUCCCUGAGACUUUCCUCCAAUUAUAUACUGUAUCUGUUGUGAUUAUUUAGCGAGCUUUCUAAUUAAGCCCUGUGAUCUAUUGAAUUAUAGCAUGGAUUAUUUAUCCUAGUGAUUUUUGAACCUUCAACCAGAUUCCUUGAAUUAUAAUAUGGAUUAUUUACUUUAUUGAUUCUUGAACCUUUGACCCGAUUCUUUGAUACCUGCUACGAAACCUAUUUCAAUUGUAAACCUUCAAUUUUUAAAACUUCUAAAUGAUUACCAUAAGAACCUAAUUUCAUUUCAAGAACAUACCCUCGAUACCUCAACCAGUUAUCAAUCACACAUCCUUCAGACCUUAACCACUUGAUCAACACCAAAUAACGUCUGUUAUAACAUAUACCUUACAGUUGCUUGAUUCUUUCCAUAAACUCAAGUUUAUUGAUCUUAAAAGUAUUCAUUUAUACUUGGAUCCUGUUUGUGAACCUAGAACCCUUCUUCAUAUAAACAUUAAACUUUGAUAUACUUUGUCAUCCAAUCAUGCGAUAUCUGAUUCUUUGAUAAACCCUGAAGUUGUUCUCAUUCCUCUUUUGAAAUACAUCUGAGACACUUUGAAUAGUGGUCUGCUUCUGCUUCAAAAUUUAUUUAUGAUAUUGGUGUUUCUAUUUUAUUGAAUAAUAUUGUUGAUCAUCUUGAUUGUGAAAGAAUUGGAUAGUUUUCUAAACUUGGACCAAAUGAGUGGUCAGACCAGAUGAGUGGUCGCUUUAGGCCAAUGUGUGCCUUGGAUCCAGUAAACGAGCAUGGUGGGACCUGCUCGGGGUUAGUGUCUGACUGAUCAGCAGCCUAACCUUUGAUUUUUAAAAAUAAAUUUAAUAUCCAAUUCUAAUUGAUACUCUAAAAACAAAUCUUGAUAUUGAGAUUGAUUCCAUUAGACACUGGUUUCCUUCAGCUUAUGAUUAAUAUUUUAAAAUUGAUAUUGUUAUACUUGCUGAGCUCGUUAGCUCACUCUUGCGAUACUUUAUGUUCUUUCCAGUGAAGGCAGAGAAAGUUGGUAACGAUGACCCUCAGGCUAGUGGUAAGGCCAGGAUUCCAGGCUGAGAGAUGGAGAGAGCUAUCAGCAGCAAUUGGCUUUUUAUAUAUGUACUAGUUUGAAUAACAAGACACAAAUGAUGUGUAAGCUUGUAAGAAUUAAGUUUAUAUUUUGGGAUUUGGGUUUGUAAUAAUUAAAGUUAUGUUGUGGCUUGUUUUAUACUUUAACCUG